rnacentral:rRNA from 1 species
AACGGCGAGUGAAGCGGCAAAAGCUCAAAUUUGAAAUCUGGCCUCCUACGGGGGUCYGAGUUGUAAUUUGUAGAGGAUGCUUCGGGUGUGGCCGCCGUCUAAGUUCCUUGGAACAGGACGUCAGAGAGGGUGAGAAUCCCGUCUUGGGCGGCCGGUCCGCGCCCGUGUGAAGCUCCUUCGACGAGUCGAGUUGUUUGGGAAUGCAGCUCUAAGCGGGUGGUAAAUUUCAUCUAAAGCUAAAUACUGGUCGGAGACCGAUAGCGCACAAGUAGAGUGAUCGAAAGGUUAAAAGCACCUUGAAAAGGGAGUUAAACAGCACGUGAAAUUGUUGAAAGGGAAGCGCUUGCGGCCAGACUCGGGGGCGGGGUUCAGCGGGCGCUCGUCGCCCGUGCACUCCCCGUCUCCCGGGCCAGCAUCAGUUUCGACGGCCGGUCAAAGGCCUCCGGAAUGUGUCGUCUCUCGGGACGUCUUAUAGCCGGGGGUGCAAUGCGGCCCGUCGGGACUGAGGAACGCGCUUCGGCUCGGAUGCUGGCGUAAUGGCCGUAAGCGGCCCGUCUUGAAACACGGACCAAGGAGUCUAACAUCCACGCGAGUGUUCGGGUGUCAAACCCGUGCGCGCAGUGAAAGCGAACGGAGGUGGGAGCCUUAGGGCGCACCAUCGACCGAUCCUGAAGUCUUCGGAUGGAUUUGAGUAGGAGCGUGGCCGUUGGGACCCGAAAGAUGGUGAACUAUGCCUGAAUAGGGUGAAGCCAGAGGAAACUCUGGUGGAGGCUCGCAGCGGUUCUGACGUGCAAAUCGAUCGUCAAAUUU